rnacentral:misc_RNA from 1 species
GCGAGUUUCUAGACCAGUGUAGAAUCAACGUGAUGAAGAGAAGAAGCUCCUAGAAACUUUCUUCAUUCUUCUUUGAUCAUCCUCCAGAACUUUCCACUUUUCCACUAUAUAACCCUAACCCCUUUACCCCAUUCUCACUGCAAUUACAAAUCAAACCAAAAUUGACAAAUUUCACGCACAAAAUCACAAUAUCCAAAAAUUUCUCAAUACUGAAAAUGGAUUUGAGGUUGUUGGGUAUCGAUAACACACCACUCUUCCACACUCUCCACCAUAUGAUGGAAGCUGCCGGUGAAGAUUCCGACAAGUCUGUCAAUGCACCAUCAAGGAACUAUGUUCGUGAUGCUAAGGCCAUGGCUGCUACACCAGCGGAUGUGAAGGAGUAUCCUAAUUCGUAUGUUUUUGUUGUGGAUAUGCCAGGGUUGAAAUCUGGAGAUAUCAAAGUGCAGGUGGAAGAAGACAAUGUGCUGUUGAUUAGUGGUGAAAGGAAGAGGGAAGAAGAGAAAGAAGGUGCAAAGUUUAUUAGGAUGGAGAGAAGGGUUGGGAAAUUCAUGAGGAAGUUUAGUCUGCCAGAGAAUGCGAAUACUGAUGCAAUUUCUGCAGUUUGUCAAGAUGGAGUUCUGACUGUUACUGUUCAGAAAUUGCCUCCUCCUGAGCCAAAGAAACCCAAAACAAUUGAGGUGAAAGUUGCUUGAAGUUAUGGACUCUGUUUUGAUGGUUUGUGGUAUGAUGUAGUAGAAAUAAAGUUGUAGGAGUAGUGAACUUUUCCUUUCAUCUUUCUGCUAUGUUUUCACGUCUGUUUGAAUGUUACAAUAGCCAUGGGUAUUGUUUGUUUUGAUGUCUAAUGCAGUGCUAUGGUUCUGUUGCAUUUUCUUUAAACAGAAAUGACUUUCAUUUAAUUUUCAUGGAAGGAUUGC